AUUGAACGCUGGCGGCAUGCCUUACACAUGCAAGUCGAACGGUAACAGGUCUUCGGAUGCUGACGAGUGGCGAACGGGUGAGUAAUACAUCGGAACGUGCCCGAUCGUGGGGGAUAACGGAGCGAAAGCUUUGCUAAUACCGCAUACGAUCUACGGAUGAAAGCAGGGGACCGCAAGGCCUUGCGCGGACGGAGCGGCCGAUGGCAGAUUAGGUAGUUGGUGGGAUAAAAGCUUACCAAGCCGACGAUCUGUAGCUGGUCUGAGAGGACGACCAGCCACACUGGGACUGAGACACGGCCCAGACUCCUACGGGAGGCAGCAGUGGGGAAUUUUGGACAAUGGGCGAAAGCCUGAUCCAGCCAUGCCGCGUGCAGGAUGAAGGCCUUCUGGUUGUAAACUGCUUUUGUACGGAACGAAAAGACUCUUUCUAAUAAAGAGGGUCCAUGACGGUACCGUAAGAAUAAGCACCGGCUAACUACGUG
rnacentral:rRNA from 1 species